rnacentral:lncRNA from 1 species
CCAAAUCUCAUCUUGAAUUGUAGCUUGCAUAAUUCCCACAUAUUGCGAAAGGGAUCUGGUUGGAGAUAAUUGAAUCAAAAGGGCCAGUCUUUCCCGUGCUAUUAUCAUGAUAGUGCAUAAGUCUCGUGAGCUCUGAUGGUUUUAUAAAGGGCAGUUUAACUGCAGAAGCUGUCAUCUCUUGUCUGCCGCCAUGUGAGAUAUGCCUUUCAGCUUCCAGCAUGAUUGUGAGGCCUCCUCAGCACAUGGAACUAAGGAGUGUUAAGUCUGAUAUUGAAGAAUCCAGUUUAUCCAGGUCAGUGAAAUCCAGAAUGUUCUGUCUGGCAUCAUUAAUUGUGGAGCUGAAGAUGUGUAGAUUUCUAAAUCUAUAAACAGAUGUGAUAUACAGGCUGUAUACAUGUUAGGGUCCCUGUACAAGGUUUUCCUUUCAUGUCAUUAAAUAAAAAUACUGGCAGCUUCUUCUUGUGUUUCUGAAAUCAUUUGGCAUUCACAACUUUAAUAAUAUGAACAAACUGAUUUGUAGUAUUGUUUUCUCUCUCUCUCUCUCUCUCUCACACACACACACGCACACACACACACACACACACACAGGCAGAAGAGGUAGAGACAGAGAAUCACUUCAUUCCACUCUAUUAUUCUAUUGGUCAGACAAAUCUGGUCAUGCUUUCCAUGUAAGAAUUGAUAUUAUUUAGAACAAGAAUAACAUAUUUUUUAAUUUACUAUAGUCCAAGAAACAAACACGUUUUACCCAGUUGUUUUAAACGUAUGUGUUAAUUCAAGUCUAGAAGGGGGCUCCUGGGUCUGUCCUAAGUCCCAUUGUGAUCACUUCAGCCAAGGCUUGCUUUGAAUUCCUGAGGCUCCUUGCUCCUCAGAUGAACAGGCGACACCACACUACAGCAGCAUUAAUUCUCCAUGACACACUGAAAUUUUGCCAUUCGAGGAUCAAGGUAAGCUUGCCUUUGUUUUGCAUUGUGGUAAUUUCAACUGCCAAAAUUCGUCCCUCAUUCAAAUUGAGCUGAGCUGAACUCAUCCCAUUGUUAAGCAGAUUUGUCCAAUUAUUUAUUCCCAGAUUAAGAACCAAGCUAGUCCUGUUUGUUUAUUGUUAUGCAAAAUAGUCACACUUGUAUACUAAAAAGGAGAAAAUAUUUAUGUGGAUAUCACUUUUUAACAUUUAGUAUUAUAUUAAUGUUCAGGUUUCUGUAUGACAAAUCAAGGUAUGUUAGGUCCUCAUUCUAGUCACAUUUUAAUAUGUAGCCUGAACAUGCGUAUAUUUGAGGUCUUGAUUAUAAUACAUAGUGAAUCAUUUCCAACUACUUUUACUUAGAGUUAUUUUUGUAACAAUUCCAUUGGGUGCAAGGUGUCAGUAAAAUUUUUAAAUGUAUCAUUUAAAAAUUAUUGCACAUUUUCUCUUUUCACUUUGAUAAUAAUGUGCAAUUCAAGAAGUUGGAACAUAAAUUUGGAAAAUAUGGAAGAAAAAAAUAAUAUAAUGUACGGGAAGUCCUGUCCACUCACUCAGCUUGAGGUGACAAUAAGGAGAAAAUAUAUUUACUUUGGAGAGUGCUACAGAAAGCAUUCAUUCAUACUUCCUGACGUUAUUUCUAAAAAUUAUUAGUUCUCAGUACUGGGAGCACUCUAACUCACCAGAUAGGGACUCUCACAUUCUUAUAACUUGUUACCAGAUUCAAGCUGUGGUAAGUAACCCUUUUAUUCCUAGAUGGCCUACAGAGAGGUUCUCUGGCUGAUUUCAGAUAUGAUUUUUUUUCACAGUAAGAAUGCUAGUAGAAUAGGUGGGAGGAAUAUAAUAUAAUAAAAUUUUGUUCUCUUUUCCUCCCCUCUAGAUAUUUUCCAACUGGUGCAAGUUUUGUUGUCAUGGCUAAUAAAAAUAAAGGCCAGACCUUCCUGUUCUUAGCCAAUAAGGGGUCAAGAUAUUAAACUGAGACAUAGUAGAAGUUUAUGCUCAAAUAUCACCAUAUUCACGAGACUUGGCCUGAUCCCCAAACUGCCACCACCACACUAAAAUUAAAAUAAUUUCUCAAGAACUGUAGAUCUCCUUUUUCAUUAUCUCUUUAUCCAUAGGAAUUUUAUAUGCUAUCAUGGUACUUAUUAUUUUUGUUUGUUUGUCAAUCUCCCUUCUAAAUUAUUACCUAAUGAAAGACAGGAAUUUUUUUGGUCUGUCUCUUUGUUUAUUUGUUUGUUUUGUUCGCUGAUAUAUUCCCAACAUCUAGAAAGUGCCUCAAACAUAAUGGGUCCUUCAGAAAUAUUUGCCCAAUAAAAUACUGAAAUCUCUUUUGGCUGGAAAAACCUUUGAUGUCUCGUUUUACAUCUCUUCAUUGAAAGGUCAGAGUUGAACACUUUCAUUCAUCCAAAGAGAGAAGGGCUCCGGUGAUAGAAUGUGUAAUUGGAAAUGCAACCUCUAGGGGCGUGCUGGAUCUUGGCUCUACUUACUGUGUGAUUUGGGGAAAAUUGCUCAACAUCUCUGUGCCUUAUUUUCUUAAUAGACAUAUUAUCUCACAUUGUAACUCAGUUAUCAAGAUAAAAUGGGGUUCACACUUUAGAUAAACAGCUUGUGGUGAGUUCAGUAAUAAGAAUGCAUAGGUUCUUAUUACCAUGACAGAUAACUUACUGCUUUUCCACACAGAGCACAGCAUGAGAAGCAAUAGCACCCUAAGAUAUUGGAUAUCCUAGGUUUUUUAUUAUGGUAAUUACAUUGUCAUUUGGAGUCAUUUCUAUGGCAACAAAACUAAUUUCAUAAAUAAUAUGAUUAUAAAAUAUUUAAUAGAAUUUUUCCCCUAAAUGACAUCAUAGAUACUAGAUUCUGAAAACUGGUAUUGGUUUAAGUCACAAUUCAGCAAACUAAAACAAAAGUGUUUCCUCUUUUUAUUUUUUCUCUUUAUUUUUUUUCUGUUUGUAUUUCUUCCUCAGAGAAUAUUAAAACUCAAUUGGCAACAGGAGUAUUGACAGAAUUUGCAGUUAGUUCUGGGUUUUUGAAUUGUCUAUUACACUUGAGAAUAGUAAUGUGAAAGGAAUUAAUAUUUAGAGUAUAAAUGGCAGAAAUGUUUAUAUUUAGUUCUGACUUUUAUUUAUGCUUUGUAAAUUUUGUAGAUGUUGGCUCAUGAUGAAAUAGUUUAAUGUAUUUUACGACUCACUGGAACUUUGGAAAGUAAGAUACUCAAGAGUGUUUGAAUUGAAAACUUCCACUUAGAAAGUUUUCAGAAAGUUAAUAGAUCUUAUCAUAUAAUAUGACAAACAUAUCAAUUAUAUAAGGAAUUGAUACACACAAGUCUGGGUUGGUUAAGACAUAUUAGUGUGAGCUUAUAUAACUAAUAAUUAACUUUAUAAAAUUAAACUGAGAACUAAUUUUUUUGAGAUUUGUUUUUUCUAUGGAAGCAGAAUGUUUAGAAAAUCUCUCUGAACAUGAGAAAUAGGGUUUAUCCUUAAUGUUAUGACAUACUAAAUGAUUGCCAAUAGAAUAGUUGCUAUUAUGUGGAACUCAGUUUAUAACCCUGUCCAGUAAGCUUGGAUGAACGAAACAGGGGAAAAGUGGGAGUACAGUUUGAGAUGGAAAAUAGAAUAGUGAGUUCUCUUAAAUGGGAAUAGUUUUAAGAAUGUGUUCCAUUGACUCCUAACGUUUAUCAACAAUAGUUUAUAUCAACAAUAGUUUAUUGGUAAUGAAAAUGUGUAAUUUCAGCCUUUGUUUUAGCUGCUUUUAAAAUAAAUAAGAAUGGAGAAGGUAGACAUGGAGGAGAAAGAUGAGCACCUGCCUAGGCUAACGUAACUCUAGGCACUUAGAUACAGAUUACAUUCACAAUGCCAAGCAGAAGACAACUCAUCCUGUUGUUAUAUUUUUGUUCUCUCUAUUCUUCCAUUUCUCUUCUAAAAUCCCUCAUUUUUCAUGUACAUCAUCCACAUUUUCCAUUGGAAAAUUUUGUAUAUUUAUCCUUGCUGUUUUUAAGUCAUUAGCUGCUAAUCACAACAUCUAGGUUAUCUGUCUCUUUGUAUUAGCAUUGUUGGGGAUUUUUGUCCAUUGAUUAUGAAUUGCACUCUCAUUUUCUUUGCUUUGCUUUGUUUUUAUGUUCUAGAUAUUUUGUAUAUAACAAGAGAAGCACCUAAUGCAAAUAAAAUGUAUCCCCUGAAGAAAGACUACUGCCAGGUUGAAGGAAACGGUCAAAUUUACAUGAACAAGAGCUUGUUAUGAGAUUUAGUGGACAGAAUUCUUUUUUUGAGGUGGGAAGAUGUGUGCAAUGGCGCAAUCUCACCUCACUGCAACCUCUGCCUUCUGGAUUCAAGCGAUUCUCCUGCCUCAGCCUCCCGAAUGCUGGGAUUACAGGCACCUGCCACCAUGCCCAGCUAAUAUUUUGUAUUUUUUUUUUUUUAGUAGAGAUGGGGUUUCACCAUGUUGACCAGGUUGGUCUUGAACUCCUGAACUCAGGUGAUCUGCUUGCCUUGACCUCCCAAAGUGCCGGGAUUACAGGUGUGAGCCACCGCCCAUGAUCCCUCCCCAGGUGCACAUGCUGUGUAUAUGCCCCUGGCCUUGGGUGGGACUGUUAAUAUGACGGAGCAUCACUCUUGUGAUUAGUUUAUAAUAUAUCACAAAACUGAAGGAAGUUUUAGAUGUAAUUAAGGUUCAAAACAGUUGAUUUCAAGAUAUCAAAAGGGAGAGUAACUUGGAUGGGUCUGAUUUAUUCAGAUGAGGGGAUUUCAAAGGGUCAGAGAUGCAAAGAGAGAAAGAUUCUCACAGUAACUUAGAACAAGUAACCUACUAUGUUGGUUUUGUGAACUACAGGGUAAAGCACUGCAGGAGGCCGUUGGUUGCUGAGAGCAGCCCCAGGAUGUCAGUUGGCAAGAAAAGAGGGACCUCUGUCCUACAACCUCAAGGAACUGAAUACAGCCCAAACUAUGCUAACUGGAAAGAGGACUCCAAGCCUCAGAUGAGAGCUCAUCACUGGCUGACAACUUUUGACACCUUGAGCAGAGGACUCAGUUAACCUGCACCCAAUGCUUAUGUCUCCCCCAAAUUAAUCCUAACCCCCAAAGGGGUGAUAUGGGAGGUGGAGACUCUGGGACGUGAUUAGAUAAUGAGGGCAGAGCCCUCGUGAGUGAAAUUAGUGCCCUUAUAAAAGAGGUCUAAGGAAGACCCCUCACUCUUUCUACCUUGUUGAGGACAGAGGUGCUGUUUAUGAAGUGGGACCUGGUCAGACACCUAUACUUAGAGGAUAUCCAUUCCCUAAUUUCCAGAAACUGUUAAUAUGUUGCCUUAUGUGGCAAAAGAGACAUUGAAAAUGUGACUGACCCUAUGGAUCUUGAGAGGGAGAGUUAUCCUGGAUUGUCUGAGUGAACUCAGAACAAGAGUACAUAAAAGUAGAAAAUAAUUGUCUGCUGAGGUAAGGCAACCAGGCUGCUUGCUACUGCUGACAAGAUCAGGUGGUUACCGGGAAUCUCUUAAUUCACCUUCAUGGACUUCAGGGGCACAUUUUCUGCCUUGUUCUUACCAGCUUCUUAUUUCCUGGGGACCAAUAUCAUUCCUCAUACAUGUUCUCAUAUUUCAUUUUGCCUACCUCUUUUUUUUUUUGACCCUUCUACCUGACUAUCCUGACCUUCCUUGGUGUGUUCCCAUCAAAAUGUCCCUAGCCUAUGUUUGCCCAAUGAAACUGUGCACACAUUUAACCUUGGACUUUCCGUAAUGUGUUAACAUUGUUUUGUAAAUACCCCAAGACUCACUUGGGGCAUUAUGACUCACUAACUUUUGUCUUGAAGGAGGACGGAUUGAACAUGCUUACUGUAGAAAAGGUGACAAGUCUUACUAAAAAGAGAAAAUAAAAACCAAGUCAUGGAUGUACUAGAAAAUCUGUUGUUUAUAGAAGACAAGCAG